rnacentral:rRNA from 1 species
GAUGAACGCUGGCGGCGUGCCUAAUACAUGCAAGUCGAGCGAACAGAUGAGAAGCUUGCUUCUCUGAUGUUAGCGGCGGACGGGUGAGUAACACGUGGGUAACCUACCUAUAAGACUGGAAUAACUCCGGGAAACCGGGGCUAAUACCGGAUAAUAUUUUGAACCGCAUGGUUCAAUAGUGAAAGACGGUUUCGGCUGUCACUUAUAGAUGGACCCGCGCCGUAUUAGCUAGUUGGUAAGGUAACGGCUUACCAAGGCGACGAUACGUAGCCGACCUGAGAGGGUGAUCGGCCACACUGGAACUGAGACUCGGUCCAGACUCCUACGGGAGGCAGCAGUAGGGAACCUUCCGCAAUGGGCGAAAGCCUGACGGAGCAACGCCGCGUGAGUGAUGAAGGUCUUCGGAUCGUAAAACUCUGUUGUUAGGGAAGAACAAAUUUGUUAGUUACUGAACAAGUCUUGACGGUACCUAACCAGAAAGCCACGGCUAACUACGUGCCAGCCGCCGCGGUAA